rnacentral:rRNA from 1 species
CUUUUCGGAGGGCUGUAUUUAUUAAAUAACAAACCAAUAUUCCUCGUGUCUAUUGUGGUGAAUCAUAGUAACUUUUCGGAUCGCAUGGGCUUGUCCCGCGACAAACCAUUCAAGUUUCUGCCCCAUCAGCUUUCGAUGGUAGUGUAUUGGACUACCAUGGCUUUUACGGGUAACGGGGGAUUAGGGUUCGAUUCCGGAGAGGGAGCCUGAAAAACGGCUACCACAUCUAAGGAAGGCAGCAGGCGCGUAAAUUACCCAAUCCUAAUUCAAGGAGGUAGUG